rnacentral:rRNA from 1 species
GCAGCCGCGGUAAUUCCAGCUCCAAUAGCGUAUAUUAAAGUUGUUGCAGUUAAAAAGCUCGUAGUUGAAUUUCGAGACCGGUUUACUGGUCGUGCUUUUGUACGUACUGGUAUUAUUGGUUUCUCCUUUCUGACGAACUAUAAUGCCAUUAAUUUGGUGUUUUAGGGAAUCAGGACUGUUACUUUGAAAAAAUUAGAGUGUUUAAAGCAGGCUCACGCUUGAAUACAUUAGCAUGGAAUAACGGAAUAGGACGUUUGAUUCUAUUUUGUUGGUUUCUAGGAUCGACGUAAUGAUUAAUAGGGAUAGUUGGG